rnacentral:lncRNA from 7 species
AUCGCGUGACGUGGGGCUAGGAUUAGAUGAAACGUAGUGAUUUGGUCGAAUGUGGCAGGCGCCGUUCGAUUCUGAUCUGAUGGGCAUGAGUUGAGCUGAGUAUUUUAAAAUCCUAGGCGUCUAUUAGAAAUCCAAUGACCCCGAUUGCAUACCGAUUCAUUUUAUGUAGGAUCUAAUCCUAACCCUUGAUCUUAGACCUGACGGCCCAUAUCAACAGAUACCUCUUCGCCAUGCCAUUUUGCUAAAGAGACCCCACGCUUUAUAUAUAUCAACAUGUAGUUCAGUUAACAACGCUCUGUGUCUUAGGAAUACUUGCGCCAUAGCCCCUGUGUUUCUGUUAAAUUGGCGCCCAGUCCAGACAGUGAGAAAACCUGUAAAAUAAUUUAGAAAAGGAAUUUUUAAUGUGAAAACAAUUCCUAGAACUUGUUUAAUUCAUAUAAAAUUCAUAUGAAGUCCAAAUCAAUCCAUUCCAAUUUUUAUAAUUUUGUAAUAAUGUUGUUUAUCACCUAUUGCCUAUGUUUUGACAUGAAAGUCACAUUAAAAUUUAUAUCAUAUUUAAUCUUGUACAAAACACAUACAAUAUUUAUAAAUUCAUAACUUAAAAUCUAUAACUCCGAUUUGAUCCAUUCAAGUUGCGUUAGUCUCGUACAAGUAUUUACUACGCAGAAACAACAUUUAUUGUACCAUGUCUCAUUAUUUUAUAAUUAGAUCUUUAUUUAACCUAUGUUGGUUAGUCUUGUUAAUCUACUUAUCAAUGUAAUAGAAAAUGAUCUAUGAUCAAUUUAUAACUUAGAUUUAAGUUGAGAUAAUUAUUUAUAGAAUAACCUCUCAUAUGAUUUAUAUUAACCAAUUUAUAAUAUAGUUUAAUAUUUUAAUCACACAGAUCUUCUAUAACUCCUUAAUCGUAACUCCGAUUUUAGUUGUUCUCGUUCCCACGAUCGCGUAACAACGUGUAAAUUAUUAUUAUCCAGUUUGUACUUAUGUUUGGUGUGAUGUUAAUUUUGUCUAUACCAUGUCCGUUUGUAUUGCUACGACUAACGUGAGGUCACGAGGAUCUGAAGAAUCAUCCUGGUAACUGGAAUCUCAAGUGCCAGGCAAGUUGUGCCCUUGAUUCACUUUUGUUACCCAAUAAUAUUCUUUAUUAUCACUAUUCAAUGCAUAGGUUUAAUGUUGAUGGGACCUAAUAGGUUGCCCUAGUCUGUUUAUUCUGUUUACCUUGUUUACCCCUACUUCACUUGGGUAGUUAUCCUAUUGCAUUUUAUGAUUUUGGGAUUAAUAUUUCAUUAUAUCCAUGUUCCAAUUAUUCUAUUAUUUUAUUUAUGUUCAUGUCAAGAUCAUUAUCUUUAAUUGGAACAUGAAGCUUAACUUGAGAAACAUGUGCUACCGCAAGGGUGGAAUGGGACGCCCUUGGCUGAUUAAUUAGGAAAGCUAGUGGAAGACUAUCUUACCCGAAAGGGACAAGGGCAGUAGGGGAGUUGCAUGCAAGGAGGUUCUCGGGUUAAUUUUGCUGCGAUGGCGCUUAGACGAGGGAUUCUUGCAAGUGCUCUUUCCAUAAACUGUAGUGGGUUUUCAGAAGCUAGUGGAACUUUUUAAAGGCCUCGUCGUGGAUCCCUAGCCAUUCACCUCGGUAGUGUCUAAGGGUCUAGCUAACCCUGGCGACAUGGGAUACACGACUUGUGGGUACAGGGUACAACCUCUGCAGAGUGUAAAACUAGUAUACUAGCCGAGCUCAUGGUCAUGAGCAGCUCAGGACUCUCGCAUGAUUAAUUUAUGGAACUUAAACUCUAUUUGUCAUAUGCAUUGCAUAUGAUUUAUUAUUAAUUUUGUUCUAUUAUUAUUUAUUAUGGUUUGGUAUUUACUUACAUUUAGUAAUUGCUAAUAAAAUUUGACCAACUUAUUAAAAGCAAUGCUCAGCUUUAACCCCUAUUGUUGAUCAGCCUUACACAUCACAUGAACUCCCACCUUUGGUGAGUUCAUGCCACAUUAUUCCCCACAACUUGUUGAGCGAUGAACAUGUGUGAGAUCACCCUUGCUGUCUCACACCCCCCCACAGGAGAAGAACAGGUGGUUCAAGAGGAGCCACACAACGAGGAGUUCGAUUCGAUCUAGGUGGCGUCUCCCAGUUGACUUUCUGGAGCCAAGAAUAGAUUUUAGAUCCUUUCAUAUUUAUGUUUUAUUUUGUAAGACUUCCGCUAUGUAAUAAAUACUCUGAUUAUUGUGACAUUUAG